rnacentral:rRNA from 1 species
GACGAACGCUGGCGGCGUGCUUAACACAUGCAAGUCGAACGGGCCUGUCUUCUUUUUUGGGGGGUGGGUUGAGUGGCGAACGGGUGAGUAUCACGUGAGUAACCUGCCCUUCGGUCCUGGAUAACCGCUUGAAAGGGCGGCUAAUACAGGGUGGUCCGGUUGGUCCGCAUGGGCUGGUCGGGAUAGAUUCACUGUUUUUGGUGUUUCGGCGGGGGAUGGGCUCGCGGCCUAUCAGCUUGUUGGUGGGGUGAUGGCCUACCAAGGGGGUGACGGGUAGCCGGCCUGAGAGGGUGGGCGGCCACACGGGGACUGAGAUACGGCCCAGACUGCUGCGGGAGGCAGCAGUGGGGGGUAUUGCACAAGGGGCGGAAGCCUGAUGCAGCGACGUCGCGUGAGGGAGGGAGGCCUUCGGGUUGUGAACCUCUGUUUCCGGUGGUGAAGGCCCUGUCCGUGUGGUGGGGUUGACGGUAGCCGGGGAUGAAGCGCCGGCUAACUACGUG